rnacentral:rRNA from 1 species
UACGGGGGGGGCAAACGUUGCUCGGAAUCAUUGGGCGUAAAGCGCACGUAGGCGGUCUGUUAUGUCGGAUGUGAAAGCCCUUGGCUUAACUGAGGGAGUGCAUCCGAAACUGGCAGGCUAGAGUACUAAAGAGGGUCGCGGAAUUCCCGGUGUAGAGGUGAAAUUCGUAGAUAUCGGGAGGAACACCGGUGGCGAAGGCGGCGACCUGGGUAGAUACUGACGCUGAGGUGCGAAAGCGUGGGGAGCAAACAGG